GCCCGAGUGGUGGAAUUGGUAGACACGCUAGUUUCAGGUUCUAGUGGCUUUACGGCUGUGUAGGUUCGAGUCCUAUUUCGGGUA
rnacentral:tRNA from 1 species